rnacentral:tmRNA from 1 species
GGGGCUGACUGGCUUUGACAGCGAGAUGAAGUGGUUUGUAAGCAUGCAGUGCGUGGUCGGCUUGCACUAUAAUCUCAGACGGCAAAAUUUUAACUGGCGAAAACAAUUACGCUCUUGCUGCUUAAUCGAAGUAUAGUAGAUAUAGCUUAAUCCUUGCACAGGUGUGAGGACAAGACAUCACCCGGAAGCUGUGGCUUCGAAGCAACCGAUCAGGUGGUGUAGGUAAAUCGGAGAUAGGAUAGGGGAUGCUUUGGCUCCUUUCUGAAAAUUUAGAAGAUACGGUGUGGGUUGGUGGCUUCGGUCUUGCCCGCUCCCGACAAUGAAGGCGAAGAUAAGCAUGUAGAAAGCAAAUUAGUUCCUUGUUUGGACGAGGGUUCAAGUCCCUCCAGCUCCACAA